AUACGGAGGGUCCAGGCGUUAUCCGGAAUCAUUGGGUUUAAAGGGUCCGCAGGCGGUCAAUUAAGUCAGAGGUGAAAGCCCAUCGCUCAACGAUGGAACUGCCUUUGAUACUGGUUGACUUGAGUUAUACGGAAGUAGAUAGAAUAAGUAGUGUAGCGGUGAAAUGCAUAGAUAUUACUUAGAAUACCGAUUGCGAAGGCAGUCUACUACGUAUAUACUGACGCUGAGGGACGAAAGCGUGGGGAGCGAACAGGAUUAGAUACCCCGGUAGUCC
rnacentral:rRNA from 1 species